rnacentral:rRNA from 1 species
AUUGAACGCUGGCGGCAUGCUUUACACAUGCAAGUCGAACGGUAACAGGCCUUCGGGUGCUGACGAGUGGCGAACGGGUGAGUAAUGCAUCGGAACGUGCCCAGAGGUGGGGGAUAACGCAGCGAAAGCUGUGCUAAUACCGCAUGUGAUCUGAGGAUGAAAGCGGGGGACCAGGCAGCAAUGUUUGGCCUCGCGCCUUUGGAGCGGCCGAUGUCAGAUUAGGUAGUUGGUGGGGUAAAGGCCUACCAAGCCGACGAUCUGUAGCUGGUCUGAGAGGACGACCAGCCACACUGGGACUGAGACACGGCCCAGACUCCUACGGGGGGCAGCAGUGGGGAAUUUUGGACAAGGGGCGCAAGCCUGAUCCAGCAAUGCCGCGUGCGGGAAGAAGGCCUUCGGGUUGUAAACCGCUUUUGUAGGGAACGAAAAGGCUCUGGCUAAUACCUGGGGCUGAUGACGGUACCGUAAGAAUAAGCACCGGCUAACUACG